CUCCUCUUAGGGUCACACCUGGAGAGUUUCCAGUAUUCUACCAGUCUUGGAUAUGGGAGGGAGUGUCAAGCAGAGAAACAUUCCGUUCCUAGCUUGGCCAGUGGCUAGGGAGUGGCAGGCAAUCUGCUACAAGU